GAACAUGUUCAGGAUCACAAUCUUGAUCAAUAUCACAAUGAUGUGGAUCACAAUUUUGAUCACAAUGAUGCAACCAAUUUUGGAUCCGCUCACCAAUCACCCACUCUAGCGCUGACAACCAAUCCUGAAGCUCAGACGCCAAUCAUUUCCACACCUUCAGGUAAAUCACCCACUCUAGCACUGACAACCAAUCCUGAAGCUGAAGCAUCCGAUUACCAGACGCCAAUCAUUUCCACACCUUCAGGUAAAUCACCCACUCUAGCACUGACAACCAAUCCUGAAGCUGAAGCAUCCGAUUACCAGACGCCAAUCAUUUCCACACCUUCACGUAAAUCACCCACUCUAGCACUGACAACCAAUCCUGAAGCUGAAGCAUCCUAUUACCAGACGCCAAUCAUUUCCACACCUUCAGGUAAAUCACCCACUCUAGCACUGACAACCAAUCCUGAAGCUGAAGCAUCCGAUUACCAGACGCCAAUAAUUUCCACACCUUCAGUUGCAUCUACUGGCAGAAACAACACCUUUGAUAAUAUUUACAAUAAUCAAGAAAUGAGUUACAAGAAUGAAAAAAAAUUAUCACAAAUAUCACGGGAAAAAAAGCCACAUAAGAGGAAGAAA